UUUCACAAGUUCUCUGUUUUUGAAAAAAAGAAUAACUUAUGUGAUAAAUUUAUGUAAUUUGACAAUUAAUCUACCUCAUGUGCUUGCAGAUAUGUAUUCAAUUCCUACCACCGUAGUGGAAGAGAGGCUAUCCCUAUCUUUACAACUGAUAGCAUUUCCAACAGUAAGCUGUGAGAUUCUGCUUGAAAUCACCUCUCAAACAAAUAAAAAACAGACCUGGGAGACACGCUACACUCAUUCUGCUGAAGAAAUAGGCAUUCAUACUUGGGGAAACAGGGAUUUCACAGACCCAGGCUUGUUCCCUACAUAAUGUUUCCUCCUCCGACAUCAGUUCAUCAGUCAAUCAAGUCAUGUGAGAGUGGAGGCCUUGUAUUCCCUAUUAUUCUUGGGCACUCUCCUCCAAGGAGGGAAAGGCCAGGAGGUCCUUUUAGAGGAUGCACUCUGAGAGCCCGGGCUCCCUAAGGUAUGAGAGUUCUAACCAGCAGGUUAGACUUUUCAGGAGUGAGGAAUGAGGCAGGCAUUCCAAACCGGUACCUUCAUUACCUUUUGUUUCAUCUCAAGACAAUUCUGAGGGGCUGUUUUGGAGCGUGUCUGGAAGGUGAACGUUGAAGAAGAGUGUGGGCUUUGAUAUGACUCAGUUGAGAUCUUUCAUGGGGAGGCAGGAAUUCAAUGCCCAGAAUCUGGGCUGGUGUCUUUGAGGUCAGUAGGUUGCAUCUUUUUAUCCAAGUCCGUUGUUACUAGGUUGGAGGCUGGAGAUUCUAAAUGGCUUCCAGACUGCCUCUCUGAUUCUCUUUGGGAGAUGUGGUCUGAAAGACAAUGUCAGUAUUUUUGGGAAAUUCUAGAAAGUCUGCUUGGAAACGUGGGAAGAGCUCUUGCCUAGUGCCUAAAUGCUCCAUUUGCAGCUCUAGCCAAGUAGAUACUUGGUAGGUAUAGAGCCGGGUUUGCAUUUAUAUCAGCAAAACCUAUGUCAGAGUUGAAGAAGUAGUCAGGAAAAAGUGUAUUGGUCACAGGCCGGGAACAUCUUAA
rnacentral:lncRNA from 1 species